GACGAACGCUGGCGGCGUGCUUAACACAUGCAAGUCGAGCGGUAAGGCCCUUUCGGGGGUACACGAGCGGCGAACGGGUGAGUAACACGUGGGUGACCUGCCCUCAGCUCUGGGAUAAGCCUGGGAAACCGGGUCUAAUACUGGAUAUGACUCCAUGACGCAUGUUGUGGGGUGGAAAGCCUUGUGCGGCUGAGGAUGGGCCCGCGGCCUAUCAGCUUGUUGGUGGGGUGANGGCCUACCAAGGCGACGACGGGUAGCCGGCCUGAGAGAGCGACCGGCCACACUGGGACUGAGACACGGCCCAGACUCCUACGGGAGGCAGCAGUGGGGAAUCUUGCGCAAUGGGCGAAAGCCUGACGCAGCGACGCCGCGUGAGGGAUGACGGCCU
rnacentral:rRNA from 1 species